CUCAACUCCCCUGGAAUCUGCCCACCCCGCCGCGCCCCUUCGGGCUUUUGGGAGCCACUGAGUUUCGGCAGUCUAAAGGGCGGGGCUGGCUGGAUCCUGGGUCUGUUCCCUGGUGCGACCUCUUCGAGGACAGGAAGAAUCGAGAAGGAUUCCCAAGAGCUUGGAGGGCUCAGAGCUCUCCAUCACCAUCAGGAAGAAGAGGAAGCUGCAGGCACUUGGUGCCUGACUCUUGAGUCCAGCUCUCUCAAGAUUGCUGUCACAGCCCACAAAUGUGCAGAGCUUUGCAGUCUGUAGCUUGCAGGGAACUUUGUAUGUAAUAUCUCCAUUGAUUCACCUGGCCACAGUGGGAAAUGAAAAUUAUUGUUCCCCCAUUUCCAGGUGAGAAAGCCUCAAAACUAUAAUACAUCCAUUGAGUUAUAAUGAGAUUCAAAGACUCACAACUAAUAUGUAUCUGCUGGACCUUGCUAUUGUGCUGGGUUAUGUUAGAUGCAAAGAUAAACAGGUUUUAGGUUCUUAGGAAUGUAAUGCAUAUAUUUUCUCAGCCCUUUAUAAAAGAUUCCAG
rnacentral:lncRNA from 1 species